GCGCUCACUUUGGCAGCGUGUAGAGUAAAAUUGGCAUGAUACAAGAAAAUUAGCAUGGUGCCUGCACAAGGAUUACACACAAAUUCAUGAGGCGUUCCAUAUUUAG